GCUGCCAUGGUUGAAUGGUACAAUUCGCGCUUGCCAAAAGCAUCUUGUGCGAGGUCCGCGUUCGAUUCGCGGUGGUAGCA